GACGAACGCUGGCGGCGUGCCUAAUACAUGCAAGUCGAACGCAGUGGGGACGGGUGAGUAACACGUGGGUAACCUCCCAUCAGAGGGGAUAACACUUGGAAACAGGUGCUAAACCGAUACUGAUGGAUGCACCCGCGGUGCAUUAGCGAGUUGGUGGGGUACCGGCCCACCAAGGCCACGGUGCAUAGCCGACCGGAGAGGGUGAUCGGCCACGAUGGGACUGAGAAACGGCCCAAACUCCUACGGGAGGCAGCAGUAGGGAAUCUUCGGCAAUGGACGAAAGUCUGACGGAGAAACGCCGCGUGAGUGAAGAAGUUUUGCGGAUCGUAGAACUCUGUUGUUAGAAAAGCGGUAUCUAACCAGAAAGCCACGGCUAACUACGUGCCAGCCGCCGCGGUAAUAC
rnacentral:rRNA from 1 species